rnacentral:rRNA from 1 species
UACAGAGGGGGCAAGCGUUGUUCGGAAUUACUGGGCGUAAAGGGCGCGUAGGCGGCCUGUUAAGUCGAACGUGAAAUCCCCGGGCUUAACCUGGGAAUGGCCUUUGUGACUGCACGGCUAGAGUGUGUCAGAGGGGGGUAGAAUUCCACGUGUAGCAGUGAAAUGCGUAGAGAUGUGGAGGAAUACCGAUGGCGAAGGCAGCCCCCUGGGAUAACACUGACGCUCAGGCACGAAAGCGUGGGGAGCAAACAGG